ACCUUUGCACAGUGUCAGUAUCAUUGCUAAUGAGGUUUAUCCAAGAUGCGAUCAUUGCUAAUUGAAAACUUUCCCCAAUAUCCUGCUAUGAUGACUUUCAAUAUAGCUGGCAAUGGCAAUUUCUGAUGGUCUCUACAGACA
rfam:Otolemur garnettii contig030484, whole genome shotgun sequence.